rnacentral:rRNA from 1 species
UACGUAGGGGGCGAGCGUUGUCCGGAUUUAUUGGGCGUAAAGAGCUCGUAGGCGGUUUGGUAAGUUGGAUGUGAAAAUCUCCAGGCUCAACUUGGAGGGGUCAUUCGAUACUGCCAUGACUAGAGUUCGGUAGGGGAGUGUGGAAGUUCCUGGUGGAGCGGUGAAAUGCGCAGAUAUCAGGAGGAACACCCGUAGCGAAGGCGGCACUCUGGGCCGGAACUGACGCUGAGGAGCGAAAGCGUGGGGAGCGAACAGG